UACAUACAUAGUCGAUAAGGUCCUCAAUCAAGUUUGAGGUGAAAAGGGAAGCUUGGUGAAAUUCCAGCACGGUCCCGCCACUGUAAGCAUAUAUACACUGCAAAAGCCACUGUCCAAAAAGAUGGGAAGGCGUAGUGUUGAAAUUGUAUGCGAGUCAGGAGACCUGCCUUAUUGAAAUCUGUGUA
rnacentral:ncRNA from 2 species